GACGGAGCAUACCGCGUGAGGGAAGACGGCCUAUGGGUUGUAAACCUCUUUUCUCAGGGAGGAACUCAAUGACGUUACCUGAGGAAUAAGCAUCGGCUAACUCCGUGCCAGCAGCCGCGGUAAGACGGAGGAUGCAAGUGUUAUCCGGAAUCACUGGGCGUAAAGCGUCUGUAGGUGGCUUAACAAGUCAACUGUUAAAUCUUGAAGCUCAACUUCGAAAUCGCAGUCGAAACUGUUAGGCUAGAGUAUAGUAGGGGUAAAGGGAAUUUCCAGUGGAGCGGUGAAAUGCGUAGAGAUUGGAAAGAACACCGAUGGCGAAGGCACUUUACUGGGCUAUUACUGACACUCAGAGACGAAAGCUAGGGUAGCAAAUGGGAUUAGAUACCCCAGUAGUCCUAGCCGUAAACAAUGGAUACUAGAUGUUGGGCAGAUCGACCUGUUCAGUAUUAAAGCUAACGCGUUAAGUAUCCCGCCUGGGAAGUAUGCGCGCAAGCGUG
rnacentral:rRNA from 1 species